GAUGAACGCUGGCGGCGUGCCUAAUACAUGCAAGUCGAGCGAACGGACGAGAAGCUUGCUUCUCUGAUGUUAGCGGCGGACGGGUGAGUAACACGUGGAUAACCUACCUAUAAGACUGGGAUAACUUCGGGAAACCGGAGCUAAUACCGGAUAAUAUUUUGAACCGCAUGGUUCAAAAGUGAAAGACGUUCUUGCUGUCACUUAUAGAUGGUUCCGCGCUGCAUUAGCUAGUUGGUAAGGUAACGGCUUACCAAGGCAACGAUGCAUAGCCGACCUGAGAGGGUGAUCAGCCACACUGGAACUGAGACACGGUCCAGACUCCUACGGGAGGCAGCAGUAGGGAAUCUUCCGCAAUGGGCGAAAGCCUGACGGAGCAACGCCGCGUGAGUGAUGAAGGUCUUCGGAUCGUAAAACUCUGUUAUUAGGGAAGAACAUAUGUGUAAGUAACUGUGCACAUCUUGACGGUACCUAAUCAGAAAGCCACGGCUAACUACGUG
rnacentral:rRNA from 1 species